rnacentral:lncRNA from 1 species
CAUAUGUUGAUGUUACAUGAUGAAUCAUGAGAGCGUUUAUAUCAUAUGAUGUUAUAUGAUUGAGGAUGCAUAAUUAUGAGUUAUGAUGUGAUGUAUUUGAGAUGUUUUGUGAUGAGUAAUUGUUUGAGCAGUUGUGAUAAGUCACGAUGAUUUAGAUGAAGGAAUCUAAUGUCAUUGUUAAGAGAGAUUUUUUUUUUUACUAAGUAGAAGGAUGAAAUGAGAACUUAGAGCUAAAGCUUGAGAGAAUUAGCAAUUGCUUUAAGUACUUGUUGGUUUGAGUUAUGAGUUUGAGUUAUGAGCUUGAGUAUAAUAGCAUGAUUAAUGGUGAGUUAUUAGCAUGCUGCAAUGAGAUAUUGUACGAUAUGUUUGAGAUGUUUUGUGAUGCGAGUUUUGCUCACGUAACCUGAAUGGUACUUGAGAAGGUAUCAUGAG